rnacentral:lncRNA from 1 species
CGCUUACAUUAAGUUGGUGAGUGCUGGAAGUUAGAUACGUGUUCUAUCUUUUUUUUGCAUACUUACUAGAUUUUAUUUGCUAUUAGUUUUUUAUUAAUUAAAAUUUAUUUAUUUUUAUUACUUUGUUGCAUUACAUAUUCAUAAAACACUUUAAGGGCAAAACCCAUUAACAACAUAAGGUGGGGAUUUGAUCAUCCUUUCUUAGCCCAUAAAUCACUUCCUUGCAU